UCCAUAGCAAAAGCUAUGUAUCUAUAAAAGCCAAAAUAAAUAGUAAUUUGGGACGGAGGGAGUAGUUGGAUUGGGAUGAGAUUAUUGGGAGAUUGCAAAAGUAACUCUCCCAACAAUAAUAAAAUGGAUAUUGAGAUAUCCACGUAAACUAGUUAUUGAAAAAUAUUUAUUGGGAGGCUGGUGGAGAUGCUCUUAGAGCUUAUCUUCUCUGUUUUUUGGCAACAGAUUCUAUAUAGUUAAAUAUCCAACAUAAUUACUUCAACUAAUAUAAGGGGGUGUUUGGAUGCGAGGUACUAAACUUUAGGAGGGUCACAUCGGAUGUUCGGACGCUAAUUAGGAGGACUAAACAUGAGCUAAUUAUAAAAUUAACUGCAGAACCUCUAUACUAAUUCGCGAGAUGAAUCUAUUAAGCCUAAUUAAUCCAUCAUUAGCAAAUGAUUACUGUAGCACCACAUUGUCAAAUCAUGGAC
rnacentral:lncRNA from 1 species